AGUUAUCACACACCCAUAAUCCCAUUGUUGCACACCAUAACCCAUCAUCGUGCCCCUUGGUCCAGCUACCUCUCAAAAGCCUCAUUUGUGAGCACAGGAGUCUUUGGAAGGACAUCAAGAUACGAGUCUUUGGAAGGACAUCAAGAUAGGAGACUUAACAACAAGGAAGUAGAAGAUGAAGUGGAUUUCUGAGGAGUUGAAGGAUUUGUUUUGGCAUUCUGAUUGAAGGUUGGCUGAGAGAAGAAAUGAGAUGUGGUCUGAGGGAUGAUACGACUAUGACAGACUUCCCAGAGAACGAGUACCUCCUCGGAGUCAUCCCACUGUGCCAAAUACUGCAUCCUGCCCACCCUUCAAAGUCCCCAGGGUGAGGAUGGUGAGAAGAUGGAGCCAAAAGGACAAGAGUCACAAUACGGAAAACAGGCCAGCUGGAGCCCUCUCUCCUGGUGGGAAGGAAGGAAGAAGGAAGAGGAGGAGGAGAAGGAGGAAGAAGAAAGACACUCUUGAUAGUGGUAUGGAUAUCUUGUUCCCGGGCAAGAGAGUUUUGCCAAUCUAGGAGGCCUUUGUUUGCUGAGCUUCCCAGUGCCUGGCCUUGGACAUCAGUGCAUCCUUCCCUGAAGCUUCCUGACUCCCUCUUUGGCCUGGCCUUUCCCUGGCUGCCUGUAACUCCCUUUGCUUGGACCCGGCUUGAAACCUCCACACAUACACGAAUUGCCAGGCUCCCACACCUUACAGUACUGUUCAUUUGAGUCAGUUUUUGGCUUUUAAUUACUUCAGUUGUGUCCUGGAAAUUGCAGGCCUCUUACGAAGUUCAAUUGUUAGUUAUUUCCUGUGUCCUUUCUAGCUUUUAUUUCUUCUGUCAUUCCUCAGAAGGAGAAAAUAAUAAGAGAAAAAUUAUUCCCUGAAUUUAGAGCUGUCCCCAGACCUUUGCACACCAGGGUAGGACAUGGAGGUUGAUUAUAUGAAGGGACAAAAUGUGAGCAGAUAAUGAGAGGGUGGGCUGGGCAUGGUGGCACACGCCUGUAAU